rnacentral:rRNA from 1 species
CAGCCGCCGCGGGAAUACGAAGGGUGCAAGCGUUAAUCGGAAUUACUGGGCGUAAAGCGUGCGUAGGCGGUUUCUUAAGUCUGCUGUGAAAUCCCCGGGCUCAACCUGGGAAUGGCAGUGGAUACUGGGAAGCUAGAGUGUGUCAGAGGAUGGUGGAAUUCCCGGUGUAGCGGUGAAAUGCGUAGAGAUCGGGAGGAACACCAACGGCGAAAGCACUCUGCUGGGCCGACACUGACACUGAGAGACGAAAGCUAGGGGAGCAAAUGGGAUUAGAUACCCCGGUAGUCCCUGUCUCUUAUAC